UUCGUAGGCGGUGUGGCAAGUCGGGAGUGAAAUCUCUGGGCUCAACCCAGAGGCUGCUUCCGAAACUGCUGUGCUUGAGUGUGGGAGAGGCGCGUGGAAUUGCAGGUGUAGCGGUGAAAUGCGUAGAUAUCUGCAGGAACACCCGUGGCGAAAGCGGCGCGCUGGACCACAACUGACGCUGAGGAACGAAAGCUAGGGGAGCAAACAGGAUUAGAUACCCUGGUAGUCCUAGCCCUAAACCAUCAGGACUUGGGGUGGCGCCCGUUCGGGCGUCGUCCCGGAGCUAACGCGUUAAGUCCUGCACCUGGGGAGUACGGUCGCAAGACUGAA
rnacentral:rRNA from 1 species